GGAAGCAGAACAUCCUUCUUCAACACAUGCAUAAAAAAUAAUUCUUUAUUUUGACCAAUAAAUGAGGAAAUAAACUUUAACUCGUUUUCGUGUGAUGCUUAUUUCCAUAUUUAUUGAUCAAAAUCCAAAAUUUUUUCAUGCAUGUGUUGAAGAAGGAUGAUGUUCUGCUUCU